rnacentral:rRNA from 1 species
UACGUAGGGGGCAAGCGUUGUCCGGAUUCAUUGGGCGUAAAGAGCUCGUAGGCGGCUUGGCAAGUCGGGUGUGAAAACUCCAGGCUCAACCUGGAGACGCCACCCGAUACUGCCAUGGCUUGAGUCCGGUAGGGGACCACGGAAUUCCUGGGGUAGCGGUGAAAUGCGCAGAUAUCAGGAGGAACACCGGUGGCGAAGGCGGUGGUCUGGGCCGGUACUGACGCUGAGGAGCGAAAGCGUGGGGAGCGAACAGG